rnacentral:piRNA from 1 species
UGUCAAUCACCUGUCUCCUUUAUUGGAC